rnacentral:rRNA from 1 species
GACGAACGCUGGCGGCGUGCCUAAUACAUGCAAGUCGAGCAGCGGGGAUGGGUGAGUAACGCGUGGGUAACCUCCCAUCAGAGGGGAUAACACUUGGAAACAGGUGCUAAACAGAUACUUAUCGAUGGACCCGCGGUGCAUUAGCUAGGUGGUGAGGUAACGGCUCACCAAGUCCACGAUGCAUAGCCGACCUGAGAGGGUGAUCGGCCACACUGGGACUGAGACACGGCCCAGACUCCUACGGGAGGCAGCAGUAGGGAAUCUUCGGCAAUGGACGAAAGCCUGACCGAGCAACGCCGCGUGAGUGAAGAAGGUUUUCGGAUCGUAAAACUCUGUUGUUAGAGAAGCGGUAUCUAACCAGAAAGCCACGGCUAACUACGUGCCAGCAGCCGCGGUAAUUC